GUCCUAGCUUUACUAUUAUUUAUAACCAAACUUACACAUGCAAGCAUCCGCACUCCCGUGAGAAUGCCCUUAACCCUCUUAUGAGAUCAAGGAGCUGGUAUCAGGUACAAAUAAUUGCCCAUAACACCUUGCUUAGCCACACCCCCAAGGGAAUUCAGCAGUGAUAAACAUUAAGCCAUAAGUGUAAACUUGACUUAGUUAAGGUUUUUAGAGCCGGUAAAACU
rnacentral:rRNA from 1 species